AGACUGGGAUAACUCCGGGAAACCGGGGCUAAUACCGGAUAGUUCUUUUCCUCGCAUGAGGAAAAGUGGAAAGGCGGCUUCGGCUGCCACUUACAGAUGGACCCGCGGCGCAUUAGCUAGUUGGUGAGGUAACGGCUCACCAAGGCAACGAUGCGUAGCCGACCUGAGAGGGUGAUCGGCCACACUGGGACUGAGACACGGCCCAGACUCCUACGGGAGGCAGCAGUGGUC
rnacentral:rRNA from 1 species